ACAUCAGUGUGAAAACUGAAACUUUCUACCCAGUACCUAUGUGGGUAAGUCACCUGUGGCACAGAGAUCUUUUGCAGCAUCGUGUCCCUGUGAAACCUUGGAUGGAGCAAGUCAUGAAACUGGCAAUCUUGUCCAAGCAUUGGGCACAGGAGAACAGACCCAUGGGAUCCAGAGAUACCUGGACAUAGACCUCAAAACUAAGCGGGGAAUGGUAUAAUGAGUGCACAGCAGUUGAGUACCCUGUGUUACAAUACUAAUUCCAAGGAAGUGUGGCAUCUCUUGCUGUAAAGGGCAAGGUCCUGACCCAGCAGUUUUGUCACUGGCUCACAAACAAGGCUUACCUUAGUCCCUGCUUCGGGUGUUCUGCCUAUUGCUUCAGCAAUGUGAGAGGCAAGAAGCUAGUGGCCUUGCUAUGUCCUGAAUUGUUUUUGUGCAGUCAAGUUGUUGGUGUGAACCCCUACAUGAGGACCCUGGAGGAUAGUGCUUGUUCUGAUUCAAGAAGACUCUGGUUUAGUGAGAGAGAAAUUAUGAUGAUGGGACAGAGAACACCAGAGGAAGUGUGGAAGAUAAAAUUGAGCAGUGUGUAGGUGUGGAGCUAUUCAGGACUUUGAGAUGAGUGCAGCAGUGUUCAUAGGAGGAACUUCCCAAAUUAUAGAGGAUGGACACAGAACUUAACAGAGACUGUAAGUAGAUUCAGGCCCUGCUGUUUUUUUCC
rnacentral:lncRNA from 14 species